rnacentral:rRNA from 1 species
UUGAGCACUGACGCCAGACCUAACACAUGCAAGUCGAGACGCUAGCACACAGGAGCCCGUCCUCGGGUGACGAGUGGCGGACGGGUGAGUAAUGUCUGGGGAUCUGCCCGAUAGAGGGGGAUACCCACUGGAAACGGUGGCUAAUACCGCAUAACGUCGCAAGACCAAAGAGGGGGGUCUUCGGGCCUCUCACUAUCGGAUGAACCCAGAUGGGAUUAGCUAGUAGGCGGGGUAAUGGCCCACCUAGGCGACGAUCCCUAGCUGGUCUGAGAGGAUGUCCAGCCACACUGGAACUGAGACACGGUCCAGACUCCUACGGGAGGCAGCAGUGGGGAAUAUUGCACAAUGGGCGCAAGCCUGAUGCAGCCAUGCCGCGUGUAUGAAGAAGGCUUCGGGUUGUAAAGUACUUCAGCGGGGAGGAAGGCGACGCGGUUAAUAACCCUGUCGAUGACGUACCCG